GCCAGCAUGGCAUAGUGGUUUGACUUUUGGACUACAACUCUGAAGACCAGGGUUUGAUUCCCAGCUUGGCC